rnacentral:lncRNA from 1 species
GGCUCACUGAGCUCUCUGUGACAUCCAGAUGAGGCGGUAGAACCCGGAACCCGAGGGCCAGCGGCGGGUACUGGUCUUACAGUUACCCAGCAGCCAGCCGAGGACGGUGCCCUCACAGCCAGGAGACGCCAGGCCGUUCCAUGUCCGCAGCUGGCGGGGACCAGGCCCAGGUGAGUGCGGGGUCCGCCAGGACCCACUGGACCCCGCCCCGUCAUGCCCCGGCCCUCCUGGCCGUCCCAGCUGGCGGCCGGGGCUUCUGGAGGCCCUGGACACCCGCCUGCACGUCCAGAGGGUACGUGGUGUCGGGGACGCGGGACCCGGGGUCACAGGCUAGGAAAGCCACGCGUUCCCGGGAAGCAGAUGUUUUCGUGAGCAUCUGUCCCUGGGCAGGAUGGAUGUCCCCUCUGGUGCUUCUCAGUCCAGGACCAUGGUCACACACUCACGCACAGCAAGCUCGUUUGUCUGGUGACAGGAGUGGUGACAGCUGUCCUUCCCACUCUCAGUGUAGACAGUUUACUCCACGACACCUCAACGGCCACCCUCUCCCUGCCCCGGAAAGGUCCCCCUGGUGGCUGCGGCCUGGCUGGGGCACCUUCCCUGGGGCCUGUGGCGCCUCUGAGGCGUCCCUGAACUUGAACUUGACCGUCCUCUCCCCCAACCCCCCCCCCAGCUGCUGUGGCUCAGAAAGUCCAGGAGGGGGACCCUCUCCCCGUCAGACCCUUCUGAGCACCGUGCUGCCGUCUCUGUGGGGACACGGUUGUCAUUUGUCUUGCCCAAAAUGAUCACCGUCACCUGAAGCCCCUCUUGCCUGCUGCUGAGCUCUGGUCUGUGAC